CUCGGAGGCUCACUCCUGGAGCCGCACUUCCGCUCCACUAACAGGUUCCGCCACGCGCAAAAGACCCCACCCUCUGAUGUCCCCGGACCAAUCGUAGCUCGGGGGAGGUACCAGGCCUAUAUAAGGUUGUUCCGCGCUCUUUGAGGUCUUUCCAAGGGUGGCUUUCUCGUCUACAUAACGCCCCCGGUGUGAUAGGUAACAUUUUCUUUGCUGUUUAAUUGAGCCAAUAAAGUUUGUAAACCCUAA